ensembl:lncRNA
UUUCCUUCACUUUUCUUAACUCUCUUAAUAUUUGUGUUCAUGUUUUACUACCCUUUCUGUGGACUUUCUAUAAGUAAAAUUGUAGAGGGAGGGGACACCUCAUUAAAAGAAAAUUCUUAAAUGAAGGAUUGGAUUUUCUUUUAUACGUGCUGUGAGGUGGUCCAGACUGGUGUAUCAGGAUUGUGUCUGAAUGUUUGUGUGAUGGUUAAUUUUAUGUGUCCACUUGACUGGGCCACAAGGUGCCCAGAUAUUUGGUCAAACAUCAUUCCGGUGUGUCUGUGAGUGUGUUUUCUUGAUGAGAUUAAUAUUUGACUCCGGGGGCUCGCUAAAGCAGAUUGCCCUCCCUAAUGUGCCCGCCCUCAUCCAAUCAGGUGAAGGCCUGAAUACAACGAAAAAGGCUGAGCUUCCUGUGAUGGAGGGGAACUCCUCCUGCUUGAGUGCAGAGCUGGGACAUUGGUCUUUUCCUGCCUUCAGACUUGAAUUGAAACCUUGGCUCUUCUUAGGUCUCAAGCCUGCUGGCUUUUGGACUGGAGUUUCUACCUUUGGCUGGUUCUCAGGCCUUUGGACGUGGACUAGACUCACACCAUUGAUUCUCCUUCAUCUCCAGCUUGCUCACUGCAGACCUGGCGGCUUCUUAGCCUCCUUAAUCACCUCACUUAUUCUCUCUUUAUGUGAUCUGCUGCCCAAGCCGUAAGGACACUUGAAAUUGGAAAUGGCUGAUACUCAAAUGAGUAUAAGCCAAACAUGGCUCAUUUAACAGAAAAUAGACUGCUGUAGAGUAAUGGAGGAAACAGGGAGACCAGUAAGGGGGCCCCUCAAUUAGCGCUUCUUUGGGGAACCAGGUAAGGAAUUUGUGUACUUGAAUUCCCUUUUGAUUUUUGGACUGUGUACCACUGACUGCUGUUCUCUGAACUCUGACAAGAC